rnacentral:rRNA from 1 species
GCACUUGAGGUCAGCCAUGCUGCUUGAGACUCAGCCUGGCUUUUGCUUGGUGUAUUUCUCGGUAGCAAGCCAGCAUUGGUUUGUGUCGUCGGAGAAGCGUAUGGGGAAUGUGGCAUCCUCGGAUGUGUUAUAGCCCUGUGCAGGAUACGACGACGUAGACCAAGGAACGCAGUGUGCCCUCUGGGCGGGUCUUCGGACACCUUCACACUUAGGAUGCUGGCGUAAUGGCUUUAAGUGGCCCGUCUUGAAACACGGACCAAG